ACGGAGGGUGCAAGCGUUAAUCGGAAUCACUGGGCGUAAAGCGCGCGCAGGCGGAUAUAUAAGUCAGAAGGGAAAUCACCUGGCUCAACCAUUGAACUGCUUUUGAAACUGUAUAACUAGAAUGUGGGAGAGGUGGAUGGAAUUUCCGGUGUAGGGGUAAAAUCCGUAGAGAUCUGGAGGAAUACCGGUUGCGAAGGCGACCUACUGGAACAUUAUUGACGCUGAGGCGCGAAAGCGUGGGGAGCAAACAG
rnacentral:rRNA from 1 species